UUCAGCCAUGGCUCCUAAUCAUAUCCAAGAAUAUUCACCAGAAAAGGGCCUAAAACAUAUAUUUCAUGAAGUGAUAAGUGCAAAAUAUAGAAGUUGUGAUCUUGACUAUUUCCCACAAAGGAAAAUAUGGAAAACUACAAGUGAGAGUGAAGACCAGAAAUCAUAUAAAAACUCAGGCGUUGUCCAUCACCAGAUAAUUUAUACUGGAGAGAAGCCCUACAAAUAUAAAGAAUGUUGCAAAACUUUUAGUAAAAAAAAAAUUCUUAUUUACCACAGAGGAACUCACAAUGGAGAGAAGCCCUACAAAUGUACAGAAUGUGGCAAAGCGUUUGGUAAAACAUCAGACUUUAUUUGUCACAUCAGAACUCACACUGGAGAGAAGCCCUACAAAUGUACAGAAUGUGACAAAACUUUUGGUCAAAAAUCAGACCUUAUUCAACACAUCAGAAAUCACACUGGAGAGAAGCCCUACAAAUGUACAGAAUGUGGCAAAGCAUUCAGUCAAAAAUCAUAUCUUACUUGCCACAUCAGAACUCACACUGGAGAGAAGCCCUACAAAUGUAAAGAAUGUGGCAAAGCUUUUGGUCAAAAAUCAGACCUUAUUCGACACAUCAGAAAUCACACUGGAGAGAAGCCCUACAAAUGUACAGAAUGUGGCAAAGCAUUCAGUCAAAAAUCAUACCUUACUUGCCACAUCAGAACUCACACUGGAGAGAAGCCCUACAAGUGUAAAGAUUGUGGCAAAGCUUUUGGUCAAAAAUCACACCUUAUUUACCACAGAAGAACUCACACUGGAGAGAAGCCCUACAAAUGUAAAGAUUGUGGCAAAGCUUUUGGUCACAAAUCACACCUUAUUUGCCACAUCAGAACUCACACUGGAGAGAAGCCCUACAAAUGUACAGAAUGUGACAAAACUUUUGGUCAAAAAUCAGACCUUAUUCAACACAUCAGAAAUCACACUGGAGAGAAGCCCUACAAAUGUACAGAAUGUGACAAAACUUUUGGUCAAAAAUCAUACCUUAUUCACCACAGCAGAACUCACACUGGAGAGAAGCCGUAGAAAUGUAAAGAUUCUUGCAAAGCUUUUGGUCAAAAAUCACACCUUAUUUACCACAGAAGAACUCACACUGGAGAGAAGCCCUACAAAUAUAAAGAAUGUGGCAAAGGUUUUGGUCAAAAAAUAGACCUUAUUCACCACAGGAGAACUUACUGGAGAGAAGCCCUACAAAUGUAAAGAAUGUGGCAAAGCUUUUACUCAAAAAAUAGGCUUUAUUUGACACAUCAGAACUCACACUAGAGAGAAGUCUUACAAAUGUAAAGAAUGUAGCAAAGCGUUCAGUCAAAAAUCACACCUUAUUUGCCACAACAGAACUCACACUGGAGAGAAGCCUCACAAAUGCAAGUAUGUGACAAAGAUUUUACUCAAAUUUUACCCCUUAUUUGCCACAGAAGAAUUUACACUGGAGAGAAGCCUUACAAUUAUAAGGAAUGUUGCAAAGCUUUUAGCAAUAAAACAGGCUUUAUUCACCACAACAGAACUCAUACUGGAGAAUAGCCCUACAAAUGUGAAUAAUGUGGAAAAGCUUUUAAUAAAAAAUAAAACUUUAUUCACCACAUCAGAAGACAUGCUGGUGAUUGUGAAAUGUGAAUAAAGUGAUAGUACUUUUAAAGAAAGACUAAACCUUGGGGCUGGGGUUGUGGUUCAGUGGUAGAGUGCUAGCCUUGCAUGUGUGAGAUCCUGGGUUUUAUCCUCAGCACCACAUAAACAUAAAUAAGUGAAAUAAAUUUAUUGUGUCCAACUACAACUAAAAAUAAACAUUAAAAAAAGAAAGACUAAACCUUAUUAACAACAGAAUUUAUACAGAAAAGAACCCCUACAAAUUGAAAAAAUGCAGCAAAGAUUUUAAUAAGAAAUCAAUUCUUUUCACCACUAGGCUACUUAUUCUGGAAAGAAGACAUCUAAAUGUAAAUAAUGUAAAAAAAUUUUAAAUUAUAUAUCAUAUAUUACUAGACAUCAGAGAACACACACUGGAGAAAAGCUCUACAAAUGAGAUCAUUGUACCAUUACUCUAAGAAAGGGACAACGUUUAAUCCUCACCACAAUAACCAGUGUAGAGAAAGUUUUGAAAUGUGAAAAUUGAUAAUGUGACAGUGCCUCCAAAUUUAUUCACCAAUACUCAGCACUUGUGGAUACAUACUGGUUAGAG
rnacentral:lncRNA from 1 species